CGCGGCUCCUCGCGCGACGUCAUCCAGGCCAACUCCCCCAGGGCAGAAAUGCAGCAAGGGUAACCGGGCUCUGGCGGGUGCGCGAGGGGUCCUUUUU
rnacentral:SRP_RNA from 1 species